rnacentral:rRNA from 1 species
GUAGUCCACGCCCUAAACGAUGAAUGCUAGGUCUUCGGGGUGUUAAUUCCCUGUGGGCCGAAGGUAACCCAUUAAGCAUUUCGCCUGGGGACUACGGCCGCAAGGCUAAAACUCAAAGGAAUUGACGGGUCCCCGCACAAGCAGCGGAGCGUGUGGUUUAAUUCGAUGGUAAGCGAAGAACCUUACCUAGGCUUGACAUGUUUGGUGUUACCGAACCGAAAGGGGAGGAACCCUCCGGGGAGCCUUACACAGGUGUUGCAUGGCCGUCGUCAGCUCGUGCCGUGAGGUGUUGGGUUAAGUCCCGCAACGAGCGCAACCCCUAUCGUCUGUUACUCUCUCUGACGAGACAGUCCUUAAACGGAAGGAAGGUGGGGACGACGUCAGGUCAUCAUGACCCUUACGCCUAGGGCUACACACACGCUACAAUGGCCGGUACAGACGGUUGCGAAACCGUAAGGUAGAGCCAAUCCGACAAAGCCGGUCUCAGUUGGGAUUGAAGGCUGAAACUCGCCUUCAUGAACGUGGAGUUGCUAGUAACCGCAGGUCAGCACACUGCGGUGAAUACGUUCCCGGGGAUUGUACACACUGCCCGUCAAGUCAUGGAAGUUGGAGACACUUGAAGUCGCUGGGCCAACCCGCAAGGGAGGCAGGUG